GUUAUACAAAAAAGGUGUAAUGUUUAGAGUUAGGCGAAAAAUUGGGUAUGUAACCCGAUCAACUGAUCCUUCCAUCGAAAAAAUUCUAAUGUCAUGAAAAUUUCAUUCCCUCAAAGCCAAAACUAGAAUCCCUAUAGUGAAAUUCCUGUUGACUCUCCAUAGAAAUUGAAAUCUACAUUGAAAUCAAUUUUGCCUCACCUUAAACGAUAUCAAAGAAACCUAAUUUCACCCUCUGUAGUAGCCAGUCGGACUUCAUGUACGAUCUCAUGUCCUGUGGUGUUCGUCGCCAUCUACCUACUCUUUCAAUUGAUCUCAGGUCACCGGCUACUAACCUUCAAUCGAUUUCAAUCUACAGUUAUAUAUUGUAGAACAGGCUCUGCAACGAAAGACCAUUCAGUGGUAGAGGAACCCAUAUGACAGAGCCGAGAUCAGGCACAAGACGCUAGAUAGUGGUUUUAUUGAGAAAGUUGUAGCAAAAAGUGGUACAUGGACCUGGAUGCAAAGGUUCUAGAUUUAUCUUGAUGUGGUAUAACAUCAGUAUGAUUAGCUCCUCCAACUGAAUAUGUUGUUCCACAAGGGAACAUGCCUUUUGAUCUAAACAACUUGAACUCAACAUAUGAGACACAUGAGGAGUUGAAGUAUUGCAUAGAGGAGAUGCACAACCACGAUGAAAUGAUAUUAUUUAGUCAUCUUUUUUUAGUUUGGAGGAAUAUUUGAUGCUAUUUUGUUCUUUUUCAAAUACUUAAAAAAUGAUAGUAGCACAAUUUACAUGCUUUGAAUCAAAUCCCCAUUGAGAUUGAAGUUUAUACUUCUAGUAUUUAUCAAAUGAAUGCCAUAUUGCCCUUUAAAUAAACUGGCAUUCCUUCUCAUUUUGGCCUUUUUAAUCCAAAAAGAAUUUCCCCAACAUGCAGGUAUGAACAAACCUGCAAAUUCUGACAUUUACCAAACAGGACCAUUUUACCCUUUACUCAUAUUUUUGCACCUGAUCAUCCAGCUUUUGUUAUUAUUCACUCCCUUAUUCCAGAAGAACAAAAGAAUUAACACAUUAUAGACUUACAAAUCCAUUAACUUCACAAAUUGUAUCAUAUAUCAUGUUUUCUUAAUUUACCAAUUCUGACGAAUGAUUUUGUUUAUCAGUGUGUAUUUGAUGGCUAGUUUGUUGUGUUUUGAUGUUGAGUCUAUGAGAGUCUAGUUUUGGAUUCAUGGGCUACUCAAUCAGAGAGAUCACACCAAAAGAUAUCAUAAAUGACAUGAUGUUACAAGAUUGGUGGAUUUUCCAUUCCUCACCAGGUGGAUUCUUCCAAAUUAAAGGGUUUUCAAAGAUCACCUUCAAGAAGUCGUGAAAAUAAUGGUAAUUAUUUUUAUGUUUCCACUUUUCAUAUAUGUAAUGAACAAUAUUAUAUUAUCUUCAUCUUGAAUAGUGUCCUUAUUGUCAGCAUAAUGAAAUGUCUUUAUUUUUUAACGGUAAUAUUACUGCUAAGAAAGAGUUAACAUGAUGAAUAUUUUACAGAGAUGAAGAUUAUGAAAACGUUUCACAAGUGUAAUGAGUUUUUGAGUUUUUAUCCAAACAUUUGUUAGUUUUUUUUAUAUGUUUGAUUUUUUAGACAUAAUAUUAUCACAUUUAUUAGACAUUUGUUUCCAAAUGUUUGGAAUACUUUUCAAAGAUAGUCAUGAAAUCAUGAUUUUAUGAUUUCUACGUUUUAUAGUUUUGCUUUUAUUUAUAUCAUAAAUAAUAAUUUAAUUAAUAAUUUUAAUUGAUCAAAAUUAAUAUGAUAACACACAUAUAUUGGCAUUUAGACCGAGAAUGUGGUUUUUGUGGAAAAAUUUAUGUGCCACUAAAAGUAUUAUGAUUUUUAAAAUAUGCGUAGUUUUUACCAGUACAAUUUUUGUGCCACAAAAGUCUUUUUUAAUAUUGUGGCAAAAAAAAUGUCACUAAAAGUAUAAAAGUUUGCAGCGACAAACCAAAAAAAUGCCACUAAAAGGCUUUAGUGGGAGCGCUUCUAGUGACAUUUCUUUUGUGUGCUGCGGAUUCUUAGAGGUGACUUUAGUGGCACUUUUUCAGUUUUUUGUGACACUUUUUGUAUGUCACUAAAUGACUUUUAUUUUGUAGUGUAGGGAUAACAUCAACCCCACCCUCCCCCUCCCUCCCUCUCUCUCUAUCUCUCUCUCUCUCUCUCCCCCCCCCCCCCCCCCCCUUCAUCACGCCUCUCUCUACAGAUCGAUUGUAGAAAUCGAUUUGUAACAAAUGCUACAACCAUCUGUAGUUUAUCUGCUGCCACCAGUCUCCUCUACGAUUUCACCUACAAUCAUUUCCGACGUUGAUGAAAUCGAUUUCUACAAUCACCGGAUCUUCAUCACUUUCGUCCAGCCUUCAUGUUUCAUCCAAGCAAUCGAUACAAUCAUUUUCUCGAUGUUAAUGAAAUCGAUUCUACAAUCGUUUCACAUUCGGUUUCUGCCAUCGAUUUUUGGCCCUCAUAUUGUUCUAUCUUUUAUGUAGGUAAUCAAUUGUUUUUAACGUAUCUAAUUUCUAGAAUCGUCGUUUGGAAUCAAUGAUCCGACCUCGGAAUCCAUAGCUUCCUCCACUGUAGACGAUUAUCAAGCUAUUUCCUCUGCAUCCUAGUGAAUUGGGUAAUUAAUUGUCGCAUCUAAGUUAAUUCCAGUUAUUCGAGGAGAGAUAUUUCAUUAUUGCCUGAUGCUCUUAACCUUGGGGGUCGUGAUCUUGUUUGUGAGGUUUGUUUGGAUUUUAAAAGCAUAAAUCGUUUCAAUCUUAUGCAACUUGAUUGUAAUUAUUUUCUCAAUAUGUUAGCCUAUAACACUAAAUACAUAUUGUAAUACAUUUGGUUUUCUCGCACCAGAGGCGGUGGAGCUCCUUAAUAGAGUCCAACGGGUCAUGCAUUCUAAUGACAUAUCUCCUAGAUCCACAAAUGUUGUUUUCAAAAGAAUUGGUUUUGCCAUCCAGAAAGGGCUACCAACGCAACUUGUUGCCCGUUUGCCUUCAAUCGAUAUGUAUUGAACUUUAGAAAAAUCAAAUUAAAAAAAAUACAUCUUUAAUCAAAAUUUCUAUCUAAUUCAAUUGGUGUUAUUAAAGCCUUGAUAUUGGUGACAUAAUAUUAUGUUUCUAUGUAUGUU